rnacentral:rRNA from 1 species
UAAGUGUUUAUGAGCGUACGGUGGAUGUCUUGGCACCAGGAGCCGAUGAAGGACGUGGGAGGCUGCGAUAUGCCUCGGGGAGCUGUCAACCGAGCUGUGAUCCGAGGAUUUCCGAAUGGGGAAACCCAGCACGAGUGAUGUCGUGUUACCCGCACCUGAAUAUAUAGGGUGUGUGGAGGGAACGUGGGGAAGUGAAACAUCUCAGUACCCACAGGAAGAGAAAACAACAUGUGAUUCCGUGAGUAGUGGCGAGCGAAAGCGGAUGAGGCUAAACCGAGUACAUGUGAUACCUGGCAGGGGUUGUGUAUUCGGGGUUGUGGGGUUCGUUGUGUCGGCGCUGCCAUGCCGGCCGACAGUAAGAAAUCGUCGUGUUAGUCGAAGUGGUCUGGAACGGCCUGUCGUAGAGGGUGAGAAUCCCGUAGACGAAAACACGGCGACUGUCGAUUCGAAUACCCGAGUAGCACCGGGCCCGUGAAAUCCGGUGUGAAUCUGUCGGGACCACCCGAUAAGCCUGAAUACUCCCUGGUGACCGAUAGCGGACUAGUACCGUGAGGGAAAGAUGAAAAGUACCCCGGGAGGGGAGUGAAAUAGUACCUGAAACCGUGCGCUUACAAUCCGUCAGAGCCUUCGAACACUUCGGUGUUGGGGGUGAUGGCGUGCCUUUUGAAGAAUGAGCCUGCGAGUUAGUGGCAUGUCGCGAGGUUAACCCGUGUGGGGUAGCCGUAGCGAAAGCGAGUCCGAAUAGGGCGCAUCUAGUGGCAUGUUCUAGACCCGAAGCGGAGUGAUCUACCCAUGGCCAGGGUGAAGCGACGGUAAGACGUCGUGGAGGCCCGAACCCACUUAGGUUGAAAACUGAGGGGAUGAGUUGUGGGUAGGGGUGAAAGGCCAAUCAAACUCCGUGAUAGCUGGUUCUCCCCGAAAUGCAUUUAGGUGCAGCGUCGCGUGUUUCUCACCGGAGGUAGAGCUACUGGAUGGUCUAGGGGGCCCACAAGCUUACCGAAAUCAGCCAAACUCCGAAUGCCGGUGAGUGAGAGCGCGGCAGUGAGACUGCGGGGGAUAAGCUUCGUAGUCGAGAGGGAAACAGCCCAGAUCGCCGGCUAAGGCCCCUAAGCGUGUACUAAGUGGAAAAGGAUGUGGGAUCGCUGAGACAACCAGGAGGUUGGCUUAGAAGCAGCCACCCUUGAAAGAGUGCGUAAUAGCUCACUGGUCAAGUGGUCCUGCGCCGACAAUGUAGCGGGGCUCAAGUACACCGCCGAAGCCGCGGCAUUCACA